UGGUCAAGUGAAGAAG
rnacentral:rRNA from 1 species